rnacentral:misc_RNA from 1 species
UCCGCCAUUAGAAAACAAGUGCCGCACAGCGGCUUUUUUCUUCUAAUACAGAUAUCGGGAAAAAGGUUUUUCUGUACGACUGUAGUGGCAGGUCCUGCGCGAUGGAGGCCUGUGAACCGUGUCAGGUCCGGAAGGAAGCAGCACUAAGCGGAUCCCUUCAUGCGCCGCGGGGGUGCCUGCCCUGCGGUCUUACAGGAAAACCGGCAGGA